GAUGAACGCUGGCGGCGUGCCUAAUACAUGUAAGUCGAGCGAACGGACGAGAAGCUUGCUUCUCUGUUGUUAGCGGCGGACGGGCGAGUAACACGUGGAUAACCCACCUAUAAAACUGGGAUAACUUCGGGAAACCGGAGCUAUUACCGGAUAAUAUUUUGAACCGCAUGGUUCAAAAGUGAAAGACGGUCUUGCUGUCCCUUAUCGACGGAUCCGCGCUGCAUUAGCUAGUUGGUAAGGUAACGGCUUACCAAGGCAACGAUGCAUAGCCGACCUGAGAGGGUGACCGGCCACACUGGAACGGAGACACCGUCCAGACUCCUACGGGAGGCAGCAGUAGGGAAUCUUCAGCAAUGGGCGAAGGCCUGCCGGAGCAACGCCGCGUGCGGGAUGAAGGUCUUCGGAUCGUAAAACUCUGUUAUUAGGGAAGAACAUAUGUGUAAGUAACUGUGCACAUCUUGACGGUACCUAAUCAGAAAGCCACGGCUAACUACGUG
rnacentral:rRNA from 1 species